rnacentral:rRNA from 1 species
UACGUAGGGGGCUAGCGUUGUCCGGAAUCAUUGGGCGUAAAGCGCGUGUAGGCGGUCCGGUAAGUCCGCUGUGAAAGUCGGGGGCUCAACCCUCGGAUGCCGGUGGAUACUGUCGGGCUUGAGUACGGAAGAGGCGAGUGGAAUUCCUGGUGUAGCGGUGAAAUGCGCAGAUAUCAGGAGGAACACCAAUUGCGAAGGCAGCUCGCUGGGACGUUACUGACGCUUAGACGCGAAAGCGUGGGGAGCAAACAGG